UACCUGGCACCUCACCUUGUUCAUCUGGUCUGACAACUGUACGACAAGCAGUGACUUCAAAUUUCUCCUCCCAUCAGACUAUCAGUCAAUGUUAAACCUUUAGACAAAUGAUUCACUCGAGGAUCAGGAUCCAGAAUACAAUAUUUUCUCAGAGUCGACGACAAAAAGAAGCUUCCUUCUUAAAAUCAUUUGGUGCUUCAUCUGUGUGUUUGCAGUGCUGAUAAACAAAGUGUCUCUGCAGGUCACAGUCGAGGGGUUUAUCGGUGGUUCUGUCGUCCUGCCGUGUUAUUCAGCUCAACAUGAUCUUCAACCUCAAGACAUGAAUGUGCACUGGAGACACAAUGGCAGCAAUAUUGUGUGUGAUAUAAACAAGGGUAAAGAUUCAGUAGCACAACAGAAUCAAUGGUUCAAGAACAGAACUAAAACUUUCCCUCAAGAGUAUCAGAGAGGAAACUUCUCCAUCAAACUCAUCAAUCUUACUGAUGCUGAUGCAGGGAAAUACAUCUGCUACAUCACACCCUCAGAUGAACAUGAGACUUUACAGCUGAUCAUCAAAGAAAAAGCAAACACAUCAAAUGACCAGGAAGACCAAGGAGAAGAGAAAGGAGAAGACAGUGUUGGGACAACAUUGCUGUGGGUUUGCAGUGUAUUAGCAGUAUUAAUAGCCUGUUUGAUCAUAAUUCUCUUUAGAAACAGAAUUCAAUCCGCCUUAUUAUCUUCUGUCAUGACUCAACAGUAGCUGUGUUUACAUGGACACUACUAAUCUGAUCGUAACAGGACUAGUAGCACAAUCGGAAUAAAAAUGUCACAUGUAAACACAUCAAUCGGAUUGAAUUGGCUCAAUCCGACUAAAAUUUCGAUCGGAUUGUAAAGGGUGGUUUAUUCCUUUUGGAAUCCGAGCGAGAGGACAUGUAAACACUUGAUCGGAUUGAAAACCGAAACUGGAAAGUAUUCCGCCUGCGCAGUGACGAGCGAAGAAAUAGCGUAAUGACAUAUGACGCGCGGAACGAGGUGAUCUUCCUGGUGAAUAAAGUGUCAUAAAUAAGUGUCCUGUAAUUAUAAAUCUCCCCUUUCACUCAGCGUAUGUGAAGAGGAAUAGGACCACGUCCCACCAGUCCUCGUUUAAGACUCUCAUCAACAGACAACUAGUUUUGGGUGCGAGGAGGGAAACUUUUACACUUUUUUUUUUUUUUUUUUAAGUAACGUUAAGCAGGACACAGUUCAUGUGCUGGUCGUCGCCUAAUUAGGACACAAAGUAGAUAAAUAUCUCAUGUGCUUUUUAAAACAGCAUGCGACGGCAUUGGGAAACUGUAUAUUUCUGCAGUGUGCACAUGUCAAAAGAGUAAAUCUGAUCAGAAGCUUGUGACAUGUAAACUCGCACAUCAACCCGAUCACUUUAUUUACCGUUCAUGUGAACAAUACGUUCGGAUUCGUCAAUAAGAAUGAAUUAAAUCCGAUGGAAGCAAAAAGUGUCCAUGUAAACGCACCUAAUGUCCUUAAUGACACAAAUAGUUGCACUUUUCACUUUCUUACCUUUCUUAUUUCAAAGACUCUAAUAUGUCUUAUAUGUGCUCUCAUAUUUUUGCUGCUUGCACUGCAGUCUUCUUACUGUAUAACUGAAUGAGAUCUCUGAAAGAGUCUCUCUGUAUGCUGCCUAAAAUUUUGUGUCACAAAUGUAUUUUGUAUUAUUUGUAGUAGUUUAUAUUUGUUAAUAAUA